UACGGGGGGGCAAGCGUUGUUCGGAAUUACUGGGCGUAAAGGGCUCGUAGGCGGCCAACUAAGUCAGACGUGAAAUCCCUCGGCUUAACCGGGGAACUGCGUCUGAUACUGGAUGGCUAGAGGUUGGGAGAGGGAUGCGGAAUUCCAGGUGUAGCGGUGAAAUGCGUAGAGAUCCGGAAGAACACCGGUGGCGAAGGCGGCCUGCUGGGGUUCUGGCUGACACUGAGGCGCGACAGCGUGGGGAGCAAACAGGG
rnacentral:rRNA from 1 species